ACGGGAGGCAGCAGUGGGGAAUAUUGCACAAUGGGCGAAAGCCUGAUGCAGCGACGCCGCGUGAGGGAUGACGGCCUUCGGGUUGUAAACCUCUUUCAGCAGGGAAGAAGCCACAAGUGACGGUACCUGCAGAAGAAGCGCCGGCUAACUACGUGCCAGCAGCCGCGGUAAUACGUAGGGCGCAAGCGUUGUCCGGAAUUAUUGGGCGUAAAGAGCUCGUAGGCGGUUUGUCGCGUCUGCUGUGAAAGCCCGGGGCUUAACCCCGGGUGUGCAGUGGGUACGGGCAGACUAGAGUGCAGUAGGGGAGACUGGAAUUCCUGGUGUAGCGGUGGAAUGCGCAGAUAUCAGGAGGAACACCGAUGGCGAAGGCAGGUCUCUGGGCUGUUACUGACGCUGAGGAGCGAAAGCAUGGGGAGCGAACAGGAUUAGAUACCCUGGUAGUCCAUGCCGUAAACGUUGGGCACUAGGUGUGGGGGACAUUCCACGUUUUCCGCGCCGUAGCUAACGCAUUAAGUGCCCCGCCUGGGGAGUACGGCCGCAAGGCUAAAACUCAAAGGAAUUGACGGGGGCCCGCACAAGCGGCGGAGCAUGCGGAUUAAUUCGAUGCAACGCGAAGAACCUUACCAAGGCUUGACAUAUACCGGAUCGUUCCAGAGAUGGUUCUUCCCCUUUGGGGUCGGUAUACAGGUGGUGCAUGGUUGUCGUCAGCUCGUGUCGUGAGAUGUUGGGUUAAGUCCCGCAACGAGCGCAACCCUCGUUCCAUGUUGCCAGCACGUGAUGGUGGGGACUCAUGGGAGACUGCCGGGGUCAACUCGGAGGAAGGUGGGGAUGACGUCAAAUCAUCAUGCCCCUUAUGUCUUGGGCUUCACGCAUGCUACAAUGGCCGGUACAAAGGGUUGCGAUACUGUGAGGUGGAGCUAAUCCCAAAAAGCCGGUCUCAGUUCGGAUUGAGGUCUGCAACUCGACCUCAUGAAGUCGGAGUCGCUAGUAAUCGCAGAUCAGCAACGCUGCGGUGAAUACGUUCCCGGGCCUUGUACACACCGCCCGUCAAGUCACGAAAGUCGGUAACACCCGAAGCCGGUGGCCCAACCCUUGUGGAGG
rnacentral:rRNA from 1 species